GAAGUUUUCCUGUCCCACCACCAAGGAGCCCUUCAGGAGCCCGAAUAGCAAAGGAGACCUCAACAAGUGCAUGAUGUGCCAAAGGCUGCUGGAAAGAGACUCAAACAAAGGGAGUGGUGGAGAGCUGGACAGGAAUGUGAACUCCUUGGGAAAGGAUGACUGUCGGGAGUUUCGGGAUCUGUUCAAGAGAGGGAAACUUUCCUGCACCAGGGAAAAUGACCCUGUCCGAGAUGCCUCUGGGAAGCAACACAGCAAUA